AUGGCGCAACUGCCUCCAGAGCUUCCUGAUGAUGUCGUGGAGGAAGUUCUCCGGCGUCUCCCGCCGGACGAGCCGGCCCACCUCGCCCGCGCAUCAGUCGUCUCCAAGCCCUGGUGCCGCCUCCUCUGCAACCCCGCCUUCCGCCGCAGCUACCACAGGGCGCCACCCAUGCUGGGCUUCUUCCACAACGCUGGCUCCUACGACCACCCGGUGGCCCGCUUCGUCCGCUCCAAAGCCUUGUGCCCGCGCUAUCCGGAUAUCAGCAACUUCCGUGUUCGUGAUUGCCGACACGGCCGGGUCCUCCUCCAAGCCAGAAGGAGCUCUCUGUUCGUCGUCUGGGAUCCCAUGACGGGCAGCCGGAGGGAGCUGCGCCGGCCUGGUGGCCUGGUGGCCUACGAGCUGUGUUUUGAUUUUCGGUUUGAGCUUUUUUUCGCCCUAGGCCGAGAUGGCCGAAAUUCGGUCAUUUUCAAAAAUUUCGGCUAA
rnacentral:rRNA from 1 species